GCGGCUCGCGGGCGCGCCGGGGCGCUGCGGAGGCCUCUUGCCGGGGGAGCCGGCCCGGGCCCUCCGGCCAGCCCGCGGGACGCUCCGCGCUGAGGGGGGGGCCGGAACCCAGGCGUCCGGGCCCGGCCCCGGUGUGGGGGCUGCCUGCGGGGCGGGGGCUAGACACGGGGCCGCUCACACGGGGCGGCUCACACGCUCUCCAGCUCUAGUGCGGACGGGCCGGUGGCGGCUGGAACCCGUGUUCGCUGGGCGGGGCCAUGCGGCCCAGACCCCCCCCCCCCGCCCGGCACGUGUUAGACGCCUGGGGCCGCGGAGGCUGAUGCCUAGUGUGAGCAAGGCAGGGUGGGGGUGUCGCACGUGCCGGCUGGGCGCGUCUACACUUGGAGCGGCGGGCAGGGGUUGAUCCCCCCCGCUCGUGUGGACUUAGCGCGGUGCGCGAUGUCCCUGCAGGCGUAGCUGUGUAAAGCGGGAAAAGACAAGGAGGACUUGUGGCACCUUACAGACUAACCAGUUCAUCUGAGCAUAAGCUUUCGCGAGCGACAGCUCACUUCCCCGGAUGCGAACUGGGAAUCGCAUCCCCCCCGCCCCCUGCCAAGUGUGGACGUAAGCCGCACGGCGGGCUAACGUGUUACAGCUGUCCUGCGCCUGCGCUGUUUAAAACUUGUUCCCUGUCAUGGCUUUAAUGCACCUGUUUUUUCUAGUGUAUAUACUUAACCUUGGGGUCUGCUACUGACCCACGCUUGCCCAAGGUAAAGGUCGGACCAGCUGUUGUGGCCAUUGCUGCAUUAACCGUUGCAAUGUGUGUCCUGCCAAGGGUAGCCUGUGAUGAGCUUUCAAUUUCUGACACCCCGUAUGAGUAUUGCCCAACCAGUACUUGAUUACACUUCAUGCCCGAGGCUGCACUUUUGUACUUGUAGCUAUCAUUCCUUGUUUGAGAUGUAUUAACUGGUGUGGUUUUUUUUAGGUUGCUGGAUGGUCUGGUCAGCGCAAGUAGAGGAAUGAAAUGGACCAGAAGAGCAGCUCACUUCCAUUGUUGGCAUCAAAAGGACUGUAAAUCUCUAAUUCAAAUGCAGAGGCUGUAAUUUGGAUUUACUUUAAAGCACUUGUGACCUGUUACGCAUUUUGAAUGAAACAUGAAAAGUAUAUUGUAUGAAUGUAAAUGACAUGUAAGUCUUAUUAAACAGAGUGAAACAA